CCCCUCCUCUCAGGUCCAUGAGAAGAACAGAACUACUCCUCCUCUCAGGUCCAUGAGAACAGAACUACCCCUCCUCUCAGGUCCAUGAGAACAGAACUACCCCUCCUCUCAGGUCCAUGAGAACAGAACUACCCCUCCUCUCAGGUCCAUGAGAACAGAACUACCCCUCCUCUCAGGUCCAUGAGAACAGAACUACCCCUCCUCUCAGGUCCAUGAGAACAGAACUACCCCUCCUCUCAGGUCCAUGAGAACAGAACUACCCCUCCUCUCAGGUCCAUGAGAAGAACAGAACUACCCCUCCUCUCAGGUCCAUGAGAACAGAACUACCCCUCCUCUCAGGUCCAUGAGAAGAACAGAACUACCCCUCCUCUCAGGUCCAUGAGAACAGAACUACCCCUCCUCUCAGGUCCAUGAGAAUAACUGAACUACCCCUCCUCUCAGGUCCAUGAGAAGAACAGAACUACCCCUCCUCUCAGGUCCAUGAGAACAGAACUACCCCUCCUCUCAGGUCCAUGAGAAGAACAGGAGACAGAAAGAGACAGACUGGGAACAUUACAUGUCCAGGCUUUGACUGACAGAGGACUGGAAGGGACCCGUUGGGACUAACUCGUUAUCAUGCUAUUGAAGGACAACAACAGCCUUGACUGCCACCAAUAAAUAUAACAAUAUUUUUUAUUUAUUUACAAUAAACUUUUGAAAUAAUUAUAUACACAUCCGGCAACAUUGGAGUACCAGAUGAGGACCGGGGAAGAGACAGAACCAGAACCAGAACCAGGAGACAAUAACAGAAGGACGUCGCCGCCCCAAACCCACACCGAGACAAAGAGGCAGCCCAGAAUCCCCACGUCAGGACAUGCCAAGAAGGCUCCUCUCGACCUGGACAGACAAGACAACCAUGUAUUCUGCAACAGCAGUAUUGGAUCAGGACAGACAGACAGACGGACCGGACGGCCCAAGGAUCUGCCCCGACCACCACCCUUCUGAUCAGGACAGACAGACAGACGGACGGCCCAAGGAUCUGAUCAGGACAGACAGACAGACGGACGGCCUAAGGAUCUGAUCAGGACAGACAGACAGACAGACGGCCUAAGGAUCUGAUCAGGACAGACAGACAGACGGCCUAAGGAUCUGAUCAGGACAGACAGACAGAUGGCUGUCCCAACCACCACCCUUCUGGAAACCUGUGCCUUUAACCAACUCCAUCACAUCCAUUUUGCUUUUGUUUUCUGAUUGUUGUCCAAUUUUGGGUUGGAGCUCUGCUACUGGAUGCAUCUCCCGUACUGUCCUGCCCUCUAGUGGACAACUGGAUACAUCUUCCGUACUGUCCUGCCCCCUGGUGGACAACAGGAUACAUCUCCCGUACUGUCCUGCCCCCUGGUGGACAAGAGGAUACAUCUCCCGUACUGUCCUGCCCUCUAGUGGACAACAGGAUACAUCUCCCGUACUGUCCUGCCCCCUAGUGGACAACUGGAUACAUCUCCCGUACUGUCCUGCCCCCUGGUGGACAACAGGAUACAUCUCCCGUACUGUCCUGCCCUCUAGUGGACAACUGGAUACAUCUUCCGUACUGUCCUGCCCCCUGGUGGACAACAGGAUACAUCUCCCGUACUGUCCUGCCCUCUAGUGGACAACAGGAUACAUCUCCCGUACUGUCCUGCCCCCUGGUGGACAACUGGAUACAUCUCCCGUACUGUCCUGCCCCCUGGUGGACAACUGGAUACAUCUCCCGUACUGUCCUGCCCUCUGGUGGACAACUGGAUAUAUCUCCCGCACUGUCCUGCCCCCUGAUGGACAACAGGAUACAUCUCCCGUACUGUCCUGCCCCCUGGUGGACAACUGGAUACAUCUCCCGUACUGUCCUGCCCCCUGGUGGACAACUGGAUACAUCUCCCGUACUGUCCUGCCCCCUGGUGGACAACAGGAUACAUCUCCCGUACUGUCCUGCCCCCUAGUGGACAACUGGAUACAUCUCCCGUACUGUCCUGCCCCCUAGUGGACAACUGGAUACAUCUCCCGUACUGUCCUGCCCCCUAGUGGACAACUGGAUACAUCUCCCGUAC
rnacentral:lncRNA from 1 species